GUUUCAUAGUGGAGCAUACCACAUGAAAUUCCUUCAGAUGUUUGUAGGGGUCCUCACCUGUAAGACCACAAAAAGUAGGCAGUAAAUGGAUUAGUCCGGAUUUAAGUUCAAAUGUAGCAUCUAAAUUAGGAUAUUCAAUGCACAGAGGUUGUUGAUUUAAAUUAGGAGUUGCCAAAUCCUUGAGAGUUCUAUUGUUGUUUUGAAUCGCCAUCUCUUCUU
rnacentral:lncRNA from 1 species